rnacentral:rRNA from 1 species
UACGUAGGGGGCAAGCGUUGUCCGGAAUCAUUGGGCGUAAAGAGCGCGUAGGCGGCCCUGUAAGUCCGCUGUGAAAGUCAAGGGCUCAACCCUUGAAUGCCGGUGGAUACUGCAGGGCUAGAGUCCGGAAGAGGCGAGUGGAAUUCCUGGUGUAGCGGUGAAAUGCGCAGAUAUCAGGAGGAACACCGAUGGCGAAGGCAGCUCGCUGGGACGGUACUGACGCUUAGGCGCGAAAGCGUGGGGAGCAAACAGG